GAUGAAGAACGUAGCGAAAUGCGAUAAGUAGUGUGAAUUGCAGAAUUCAGUGAAUCAUCGAAUCUUUGAACGCACAUUGCGCCCUUUGGUAUUCCUUAGGGCAUGCCUGUUCGAGCGUCAUUUAACCCUUCAAGCUCAGCUUGGUGUUGGGUGACUGUCCGCUUCACCGCGGACUCGCCUCAAAAUUAUUGGCGGCCGGUACAUUGGCUUCGAGCGCAGCAGAAACGCGAACUCGGGCCCGUCGUAUUGGCUCCCAGAAGCUAUCUUCACAAUUUUGACCUCGGAUCAGGUAGGGAUACCCGCUGAACUUAAGCAUAUCAAUAAGCGGAGGA
rnacentral:misc_RNA from 1 species